UCGGGCGGCAGCAUGGACUUCGGUCUGAUGGCGAGCGGCGAACGGGUGAGUAAUGCAUCGGAACGUACCCAGUCGUGGGGGAUAACGUAGCGAAAGUUACGCUAAUACCGCAUACGUCCUACGGGAGAAAGCAGGGGAUCGCAAGACCUUGCGCGAUUGGAGCGGCCGAUGUCUGAUUAGCUAGUUGGUGGGGUAAAGGCCCACCAAGGCGACGAUCAGUAGCGGGUCUGAGAGGAUGAUCCGCCACACUGGGACUGAGACACGGCCCAGACUCCUACGGGAGGCAGCAGUGGGGAAUUUUGGACAAUGGGCGCAAGCCUGAUCCAGCCAUUCCGCGUGAGUGAAGAAGGCCUUCGGGUUGUAAAGCUCUUUCGGCAGGAACGAAACGGCGGGCUCUAACAUAGCCUGUUAAUGACGGUACCUGAAGAAGAAGCACCGGCUAACUACGUGCCAGCAGCCGCGGUAAUACGUAGGGUGCGAGCGUUAAUCGGAAUUACUGGGCGUAAAGCGUGCGCAGGCGGCUUUUUAAGCCAGAUGUGAAAUCCCCGGGCUUAACCUGGGAACUGCAUUUGGAACUGGAAGGCUAGAGUGCGGCAGAGGGGGGUAGAAUUCCACGUGUAGCAGUGAAAUGCGUAGAGAUGUGGAGGAACACCGAUGGCGAAGGCAGCCCCCUGGGUCGACACUGACGCUCAUGCACGAA
rnacentral:rRNA from 1 species